rnacentral:rRNA from 1 species
AUUGAACGCUGGCGGCAUGCCUUACACAUGCAAGUCGAACGGCAGCACGGGAGUAAUCCUGGUGGCGAGUGGCGAACGGGUGGGUAAUAUAUCGGAACGUGCCCAGUCGUUGGGGAUAACGCAGCGAAAGCUGUGCCAAUACCGCAUACGAUCUACGGGCGGAAGCGGGGGAUCUCAAGACCUCGCGCGAUUGCAGCGGCCGAUGUCAGAUUAACUAGUUGGUGGGGUAAAGGCCCAACAAUGCGACGAUCUGUAGCUGGUCUGAGAGGACGACCAGCCACAAUGGAACUGAGACACGGUCCAGACUCCUACGGGAGGCAGCAGUGGGGAAUUUUGGACAAUGGGCGCAAGCCUGAUCCAGCAAUGCCGCGUGCAGGAUGAAGGCCUUCGGGUUGUAAACUGCUUUUGUACGGAACGAAACGGCCCUUUCUAAUACAGGGGGCUAAUGACGGUACCGUAAGAAUAAGCACCGGCUAACUACGUGCCAGCCGCCGCGGUAA